rnacentral:lncRNA from 1 species
GGUUCAUCAAUCCAUCUAAUUCGGCGGCGCACAUACAAAACAUUGAGAUUCACAACCAGUACGUUAAGUGAGAGGACAACAUUAUAGGCACGGCUAUGGCGUCAUGUCCAGCACUGCUUUCCUGCCUUCCGUACUGAAUAUAUUUUUUCUUUGCAGAAACGUAUCCCAUCUCUAUGUACUGACAGGGCCAUCCAGCAGUAUAUCUGCGAAUAUGUAUAUAGAAAUCGGAUCCUGUCAGUCUACUCCACACCCGGGGAACAGUUCAAGCAAUUCCUCGCAGAUGUCAGGGCAACCUAUCCUGGCCCUGGCCGUACAGGCUUGAUCCUUGGCUCUAUUGGUGUCGAGACAUCUGGAGCCGAACAGAGUCACGAUGACUCCUUACCAUCACCAGUUUCCACAUUGCUCUCGCCAUCACCAGUUCCCACAUCUCCUCCGCAUCAAAGCACCGAGGUACAACAAUUGGGCACAAGAUCCUUCCACAUCUCUGCCCAAGAUUGGAAGGACGCCGGACCAAGCGCGUCGCAAGGGACAAAUUGAACCACUGGCCAUAUUUUACUGCUUUUACACAUUUUGGUUUUUUUCAAUUAGCAAUAAAGAGUUAUUUGCCGUAAUAAUUUGACUGACUUUUUUAC